CCCUGCCAAGCCCGGCUGUGUUCUCCAUCAUUGUAGUUUGCUUAAAAUCCGAGAAUUGAAGCAACUCACUCAAAGUGAGCAGCUAGUGGGCGAUUAGGUUUUGUCUUUGAGCCCAGGAUUCUGAUUCCCUGUGAGGGUGGAAAGCGAAAGCUCGGCUCCAAGGAAAACAGCUGUGCUAUUCCCUGGCCCACCUCCCACCUCCACCGACAGGGCCCUGUCCUUGGUCCGUGUUCCACGGAGGCAGGGCAAACAUGGCCUCAUUACAGAAGGCAGAAAUCUGAUAAAGCUCCACCUCUGAUCAUUCAGUAGGUUCUGAGGGAAGACUGUGUUCCUACCCAAUGGAAUGAUCUGAAAACCAUUAUGAUCAGCAGGCUGCUUAGCCGACUGUGGUGUAAGAGAUUGGUCUUUUUCCAGUUCCCUCACUUAUCUCCAAGACAAGAGGGUUCUGAGGGAAGGUCACUGCUAAACAUUUACCUCCCCACCAAGGCCCCAGGGCCCUUUUCCAGACAUGGAUCGGACUGCAGAACAAUACCAUCGCAAAUCACAAGAUAAUAGUGAAAAAAAAAACAUCGAUUGAAUUUUAUCGUCAGAGGAAGAGAGCCAUGAUCCAUGUGACUUUGGCGGUAUUCAGUGUUAGUACGGACAUUGGGUGUUUUCUGUAUCGGCUAGCCUUGGUGCAGAAGACUGGUGAUUCCUCACGUGGCAUUCUCCCCAGGGCACAGAGCUUUCCUGCUCCUUGCCCCAUAUCUUGGAAAGUGGAAAGACUGCAAGCUGAUCCAAGAGUCACUGAGCAACUGUCCAAAUGUUCUGAAGGAUGGCUACCCCACUGGCAAUGUUUUUUUAAAGUAAGCUCUACAUUGGGGGUGCCUGGGUGACUCACUGUUUGUGGGUUUGAGCCCCAUGUUGGGCCCUGUGCUGACAGCUCUGAGCCUGGAGUCUGCUUCAGAUUCUGUGUCUCCCUCUCUCUUGGCCUCUCCCUUGCUCAAACUCUGUCUCUCACUCUCUCUCUCAAAAAUAAAUACACAUAAAAAAAGAUUUAAAACA
rnacentral:lncRNA from 1 species